ensembl:lncRNA
AUUAUGUAUGAGGACACAAACUUCUGAAGGACAGAGACUAUAACUGAUGCACAUUUAUUUCUCCUAUAGGGAGGGAGAAGUGUAGUUUUUGAGAACAUCUAAAUUGACAGCCUAUUAUGAUACCAUUUUUUUGUUGUUGUUGUUGUGGGGGAAGUAGGAUAUCCUUGUUGUAUUCUAACAAUGAGGCUGAGUCUCAGACAUGAGUCUGAACCCUGUAGGGAUAGUAAAUUCUUCCUUUUCCCAGUUCUCCUUUCUUACUAAUAUAGGUGCAGAAUGGUCUGUUCAAGUCACGGAAGCUCUUGGCUGAAGAAGGAGUCUCCCUGAGCACACAGGAAGGUCUUAGUUCCAGAGAGGCUAUGGGGGCUACAGAGAGGGCCAGAGCAGAUGGCACACUCCGUACUCCAGAGCUAAGGCUAGCAUGUCUAUGAAAGAAAGGAACUAGUGUUUCCGGGUCCUUGGACAGAUUCCUUCCAGAGCAAGAGUAGCGUAUUUUCUGACCCUUUGUGUUUUUUCUUUUGAAACUGACAUUAUCUCUAAUUAUAUGUGGUCAAGUUCUAGAAGACAUUUAUCAUGUAUUGCCAAAACAUCACCCCCUGCUUUGCCAGUUCCUGUUUGCCCAGCCUGGCUGUGGCUGCUGAAAUAUCCCAUCUGCAAGGUGAACCCAGUUCCUAGCCAACCCAAGACUUGCUCCUCCCCAUCAUGGUUAGAUCUAGAAUUGGUCUGGAUGGCCUAUGUCUGGUAUGCAUUGAGCAAAAUGCCACACUGCUGUCUUCUCUGUGAACCCCUGUGGAUGGGCUUCUACUCUACUUCUAGAUUGAAUUCCAUUUCUAUUUUUGGGCUGAAAUUUUGUCCAAACCCCAAAGCCUUGUCCAGGGCUGUAGCAGUCUUCUAGGGCUGCCGUGACAAAUCACCACUUAAAACAGUAGAAGUUUAUUCUCUGAGUUCUGGAGGCCAGAAGUCUGAGAUCAAGGUAUGGGCAGUACUACACUCCCUCUGAAGGCUCUAAGGGAGAAUCUGCUCCAUGCUCCUUCCAGCUUCUGGUGGCUAUUGGGAUUCCUUGGCAUUCCAUGACUUGUAGCCACAUCACUAUAAUCUCUGCCUUUGUCUUCACAUUGCCCUCUCCUCUGUGUUUAUUCUAUAAGGAUACAGGUGAUUGCAUUUAGGGCCUACCUAGAUUAUUCAGGAUAAGUCCCUCUUUUUCAGAUCCUUAACUUAAUCACAUCUGCAAAGACUUUUUCCAAAUAAGGUCACAUUUAUAGGUUCCAGGGAUUUGAUGUGAUUUGAUAUCAUUUUGGGGCCAUUUUUCAGCCUAGCACAAGGGCCCUGACAAACUCCUGGCUUGUGCUGAUCCCUCUUUUUGGGGGAUCAGCCCCUUAUCUCUUUUGGCCUGGCCAAGGGUAUGUUUUAACAUGAGCGAGUCUGUCUGGAAUCAAAUUGUUAACCACUUGACUAUGACUGUCUCCACAGUCACACCUUUCUAGGCCUCCAUUUCUACACCCUUGGGUAUAAGUGCCAGCCUGGAUCAGAGUAAGCUUGCCUUUAAAUACUGUGAUUUAGUCUGAUGGACUCCUUCUCCACAAAUAAGCCCAAGCUCAGGUUAGUUAUUUUAGCUUGAGCCAUACUGGAAUGGCUUCCAUCUCCUUGUCAUCCUGGUAUUGAGGUUUCUGCAUGUCUCUUGGCAACGAUGUGUUGGCUAUAGUAUCAUCAUGUGUAUAACAUAUUUUUUUGCAUGCCUACCUUAUUCUGAGCUCUUUAUAGAACUUAUUUUACUUAAUCACUGUAGAUCAAGAAAUAGGGACACAGAAAGGCAUAGUGGCUCAUGCCUGUAAUCCCAGCACUUUGGGUGGCUGAGGCUGGCUGAUCCCUUGAGCUCAGGAGUUGGAGACCAGUCCGAGCAACAUGAUGAAACUCUGUCUCUACUAAAAAAAUACAAAAAUUGCUGGGUGUGGUGGCAUGCACCUGUGGUCCCAGCUACUAAGAAGGCUGAGGUGGGAGGAUCUCUUGAAUCCAGGAGGUUGAGGCUGCAGUGAGCCAAGAUUGCACCACUAUACUCCAGCCUGAGUGACAGAGAAGACCCUAUCUAAAAAAAAAAAAAAAAAAAAA